UACAGAGGUCUCAAGCGUUGUUCGGAUUCAUUGGGCGUAAAGGGUGCGUAGGCGGCGCGGUAAGUCGGGUGUGAAAUCUUGGAGCUUAACUCCGAAACUGCAUUCGAUACUGGCGUGCUUGAGGACUGGAGAGGAGACUGGAAUUCAUGGUGUGCAGUGAAAUGCGUAGAGAUCAUGAGGAAGACCAGUGGCGAAGGCGGGUCUCUGGACAGUUCCUGACACUGAGACACGAAGGCCAGGGAGCAAACGGG
rnacentral:rRNA from 1 species